rnacentral:rRNA from 1 species
GUCGAGCGGUAACAGGGGUAGCUUGCUACCCGCUGACGAGCGGCGGACGGGUGAGUAAUGCAUAGGAAACUGCCCAGUAGUGGGGGAUAGCCCGGGGAAACCCGGAUUAAUACCGCAUACGUCCUUCGGGAGAAAGCAGGGGAUCUUCGGACCUUGCGCUAUUGGAUGUGCCUAUGUCGGAUUAGCUAGUUGGUGGGGUAAAGGCCCACCAAGGCGACGAUCCGUAGCUGGUCUGAGAGGAUGAUCAGCCACAUCGGGACUGAGACACGGCCCGAACUCCUACGGGAGGCAGCAGUGGGGAAUAUUGGACAAUGGGGGCAACCCUGAUCCAGCCAUGCCGCGUGUGUGAAGAAGGCUUUCGGGUUGUAAAGCACUUUCAGUGAGGAGGAAAAGUUAGUCGUUAAUAUCGGCUAGCCUUGACGUUACUCACAGAAGAAGCACCGGCUAACUCCGUGCCAGCAGCCGCGGUAAUACGGAGGGUGCAAGCGUUAAUCGGAAUUACUGGGCGUAAAGCGCGCGUAGGUGGUUUGAUAAGCGAGAUGUGAAAGCCCCGGGCUUAACCUGGGAACGGCAUUUCGAACUGUCAGGCUAGAGUGUGGUAGAGGGUA